GACGAACGCUGGCGGCGUGCUUAACACAUGCAAGUCGAGCGGUAAGGCUCCUUCGGGAGUACACGAGCGGCGAACGGGUGAGUAACACGUGAGCAAUCGGCCCUUCACUUUGGGAUAGCCACCGGAAACGGUGGCUAAUACCGAAUACGACCACUUCAGGCAUCUGAUGGUGGUGGACAGUUCCGGCGGUGAAGGAUGAGCGCGCGGCCUAUCAGCUUGUUGGGGAGGUAAUGGCGCACCAAGGCUUCGACGGGUAGCCGGCCUGAGAGGGUGACCGGCCACACUGGGACUGAGACACGGGCCAGACUCCUACGGGAGGCAGCAGUGGGGAAUAUUGGACAAUGGGCGAAAGCCUGAUCCAGCAACGCCGCGUGAGGGAUGACGGCCUUCGGGUUGUAAACCUCUUUCAGCGGGGACGAAGCGAAAGUGACGGUACCCGCAGAAGAAGGACCGGCCAACUACGUGCCAGCAGCAGCCGCCGUAA
rnacentral:rRNA from 1 species